UGCACCGAAGCUGCGGCAGCGACACUCAGGUGUUGUUGGGUAGGGGAGCGUUCUGUAAGCCUGUGAAGGUGGCCUGUGAGGGUUGCUGGAGGUAUCAGAAGUGCGAAUGCUGACAUAAGUAACGAUAAAGCGGGUGAAAAGCCCGCUCGCCGGAAGACCAAGGGUUCCUGUCCAACGUUAAUCGGGGCAGGGUGAGUCGACCCCUAAGGCGAGGCCGAAAGGCGUAGUCGAUGGGAAACGGGUUAAUAUUCCCGUACUUGGUGUUACUGCGAAGGGGGGACGGAGAAGGCUAUGUUGGCCGGGCGACGGUUGUCCCGGUUUAAGCGUGUAGGUGUGUGUUCCAGGUAAAUCCGGUU
rnacentral:rRNA from 1 species